rnacentral:rRNA from 1 species
GACGAACGCUGGCGGCGUGCUUAACACAUGCAAGUCGAACGGAAAGGUCCUGCUUUUGUGGGGUGCUCGAGUGGCGAACGGGUGAGUAACACGUGAGUAACCUGCCCUUGACUUUGGGAUAACUUCAGGAAACUGGGGCUAAUACCGGAUAGGAGCUCCUGCUGCAUGGUGGGGGUUGGAAAGUUUCGGCGGUUGGGGAUGGACUCGCGGCUUAUGAGCUUGUUGGUGGGGUAGUGGCUUACCAAGGCUUUGACGGGUAGCCGGCCUGAGAGGGUGACCGGCCACAUUGGGACUGCGAUACGGCCCAGACUCCUACGGGAGGCAGCAGUGGGGAAUAUUGCACAAUGGGCGGAAGCCUGAUGCAGCAACGCCGCGUGCGGGAUGACGGCCUUCGGGUUGUAAACCGCUUUCGCCUGUGACGAAGCGUGAGUGACGGUAAUGGGUAAAGAAGCACCGGCUAACUACGUG